rnacentral:rRNA from 1 species
UACGAAGGGGGCUAGCGUUGCUCGGAAUCACUGGGCGUAAAGCGAACGCAGGCGGAUCAUCAAGUCAGGGGUGAAAGCCCGAGGCUCAACCUCGGAACUGCCUUUGAAACUGACGGUCUUGAGUACGGGAGAGGUGAGUGGAAUUCCUGGUGUAGAGGUGAAAUUCGUAGAUAUCAGGAGGAACACCGGUGGCGAAAGCGGCUCACUGGCCCGAUACUGACGCUCAUGUUCGAAAGCGUGGGGAGCAAACAGG